rnacentral:rRNA from 1 species
GACGAACGCUGGCGGCGUGCCUAAUACAUGCAAGUAGAACGCUGAAGCUUGGUGCUUGCACCGAGCGGAUGAGUUGCGAACGGGUGAGUAACGCGUAGGUAACCUGCCUGGUAGCGGGGGAUAACUAUUGGAAACGAUAGCUAAUACCGCAUAAGAGUAGAUGUUGCAUGACAUUUGCUUAAAAGGUGCAAUUGCAUCACUACCAGAUGGACCUGCGUUGUAUUAGCUAGUUGGUGAGGUAACGGCUCACCCAGGCAACGAUACAUAGCCGACCUGCGAGGGUGAUCGGCCACACUGGGACUGAGACACGGCCCAGACUCCUACGGGAGGCAGCAGUAGGGAAUCUUCGGCAAUGGACGGAAGUCUGACCGAGCAACGCCGCGUGAGUGAAGAAGGUUUUCGGAUCGUAAAGCUCUGUUGUAAGAGAAGAACGAGUGUGAGAGUGGAAAGUUCACACUGUGACGGUAUCUUACCAGAAAGGGACGGCUAACUACGUG